UCGCCUGCUAGCCAAUCACGUGUCGCGAGAGCAUCCGGAGCGACGGCUCACGUCGAUGGGAGAGAGCGAGGCGGGCAGCAUCAUCCGUAACGCGCGCAGCGAGCAGGCGGGCGUCCGUCCACACCCACGCAGGCGUCGCGGUGCGGCGAUAUGGCGCCAUAAGGACUAGCCGCUUCCACUCGGGUCACGUGACAGCAGGUCGCGUUCUCUUUUCAGCUGCUUUUUCCGCUGCCAGCUUUUACUCCCGACGCUCGGAGCGCGCGUGGUGGAGGAUGACUGGCAAAACGCAGACUAGCAACGUGACCAACAAGAAUGACCCUCGCUCGCUCAACUCGCGCGUCUUCAUCGGCAACCUCAACACGGCCAUCGUCAAGAAGACGGACAUCGAGGUGAUCUUUGCCAAGUACGGCAAGAUCGUGGGCUGCUCCGUGCACAAGGGCUACGCCUUCGUGCAGUACGUCAACGAGCGCAACGCCCGGGCGGCCGUGGCGGGCGAGUACGCCCGGGUCAUCGCCGGACAGCCUCUCGACAUAAACAUGGCCGGUGAGCCGAAACCAUACAGGCCCAAAGUCUCCAAGAGGCCUCUCUCAGCGGUCUACAGUGGUUACGAGUUUGACUACGAGUACUACAGAGAUGACUUCUACACCAGGCUUUUCGACUACCACGGCCGAGCGGCGGCGGCUGUGCCGCCGCGAGCCGCGGUCCCCCCGAAGCGCUCCAGGGUGGCGGCGGCCUCGUCCCGCCGCCUCAAGACCUCCUUCCCCGCCAAGACGUCCUCGUCCUCGUCGUCCUCGUCCUCCAGACCGCCCGCCUCCUCCUCCUCCUCACCCGCCGUCAAACCAGUGAAGACGGAGCAGCUGCAGAUCAUCAAGAGGGAGCUGACGCAAAUCAAGACCAAGAUCGACUCCCUGCUGGGACGCCUGGACAAGAUUGAGAUGCAGCAGCGAGCCGAGUCCGAGGCUCAUAGGAAGUACGAGGACAACAGCGACUCGCUGCACAACGAGUCCGCGGCGGACAACUCCGGCGAGGAGGACGGCGACGGUGUGCUGAUGGCCGGCGAGGCCGGUGAGAUGAGCGACGGCGGUGAGGGCGAGUACGAGGAGGAAGAGAGUGCCCAUCAUCUGAUGGAGAACCAUGUUUCCGACAUCGACAACUGAGAUUUGUGUGAAGGGUGAUGCUGUCCUUCGCCAGGCACCAUUGGACCGCCCCGGGAGAGCUGCCUGGCUUAGGUCUUUUUCAGUGUCAGCGCCACCUGGAUCUAGGUCCCUUUUUGAGCUGGCACUCCCGGUAAUCCAGUGUACCGUAUGUUUACCGGGCAUUCGCAUGAUGAAAGGCUCGUCAGGAUAAGAAGGUGCCGUUAGUUUGUUGUCAGGUGCCUCCCGAGAAUGACGCCCCCAUCGCUGCCGACGUCCGCCAGUUUUUGCCGGGGAAGAACUUGGGCCUGUCCUCCGCAGACCCUUACAGCUGGCGCGCCGCGACUCGAGGAAACGCCUUGAUCAUCUCAAAAGCCGGCAUCCAGCCCCGAUUCUACCUGGCCCCCCUCCUCAACCAAUUGCUGAAAUCCCCUUGCCCAGACGGCCGCUAGCUGUCGUGCUGUGUCCCGGCUGGAAAAAAGUCCAAAUGGUGUGGGAGCUUUUAGAGGAGAUGCAGUCGCCGUCACGCUGGGCUGUGCCCAAGGCGUGGCCCAAGUCGUCCAGAUUCCCAAAUCCUGUACGUUUUCUGGGCAAUGCGACACGGCUGCCUGUUUUUCAGGACACUGGCCGCACACUUGUUAAGGAUGAGGUGAAAAAAAAAUAAAUACAACUAUUUGUGCGGAUAUUUCAAUUCAGCCAAAUAACAGGUUACACCCUGAACUGGUCGCCAGCCAAUCGCAGGGCACAUAGAAACAACCAUGCGCACUCACAUUCAUACCUACCGGACAAUUUAGAGUCUUCAAUUGACCUUGCACACACGUUUUUGGGGAUGUGGGAGGAAAGCGGAGUACCCGGAGAAAAGCCACGCAGGCACGGGGAGAACAUGCAAACUCAACACGGGCGGGGCCGGGAUUUGAACCGCGGUCCCCACAACUGUGAGGCAGAGGUGCUAACUACCUCAACGAAAAUGGAGACUACCUAAAUAAAUUUUUUCACAAACUUU